rnacentral:lncRNA from 10 species
GGCUAGUCUCAAACUCCUGGCCUCAAGCGAUCCUCUCGCCUUAGCUUCCCAAAGUGCUGGGAUUAUAGGCAUGAGCCACGGUGCCUGGCCUUUUAAAUAUUUUCUUCCAUCAAUUUUAAAGUGUUAUCUUUCUCAUUUAGAUGUUUAAGAAAACAUCUGAAUUUACUUUAUAUAUAGUGUGAAGUGAGGACUUAAUUUAUCUCUAUAUAUUGAGCCAAUUUUCCCAAUACUAAGUUCUAAAACACCCAUCCAUUCUCCACUGAUAUAUGAUGCUAUCUCUGUCAUGUUCCAAGUUCUUAUAUACACAUGGUAUGUGGCAGAAACUUCUCCUUCCUAUCCACCCUUUCCUUCUUUUGCAGUUACAGAAUCCCUGCUAUUUAGCUGGGCACGUGACUGCCUGGAACAGACCACGAUCCCUGGCUCCAAGGCAGCUACAUCCACGACUAAGUUCUUGCAAUGGCAUGUAAGUAAAAGUGAUAUGGGCAGCUUCUGGGAGGUGUCCUUACAAUGCAAGGGACUUGCUCUUCAUCCUUGACCUCCUUCCUGAUGGCUGGAAAGUGGAUGUGAAGGCUGGACCUGAAGUGGUCCCCUUGGAUCAUGACUUUGGAGAUGAAAGCCUGAGUGGAGCACAGAGAGAGAGGAGCCUGGGUCUCAGACCCUGCAGCCCUGGAUUAUCUACCUCCAGACUUGCAGAGUGAGAAGUGAGUGGACUGGGAGUGACCAACAAUCAGGAACUGUGUUCUGCUCAACUCUGCAAUCCCAGCAAAGGACCUGCCACAGACCUCCGUAUAAAAUUGUCCAAUGGAUGACACAACUGAAAACAGGGAGAUUGUAUGGAUGUCGUGGAGUCCAUGAGAUGCAGGAUACAAGAUAGGAACAUGAAAGAGAGUACUUAUUAAGUAGGGGGUUAUUGAAGUGUUCCUUCAGCACGAGGGUGGUGAGUUUCUCAUGGGGACGCAGCUGGCCACGGGCAGAGACCCACAGAGAGAAGGUUACCAUGCAGGAAAAUUAGACAAGGACGAAGAAAAUGCUCACCACACAAUGAGAGGUUUCUAAAUCCACUGCAGGGCACCUCUGUUAUGCUCCAGCCUGGCUCACAUUGCCACAAUGUCAGGCUGAUCUGUCCUCUAUGCUUCAGCAUCAGCCAAAAUGAAAAGAUAAGAUGCUACCUGAAGAAUGAAAACGAACUUGUUAGGUCUUGAGUUGCAAGCAAUGCAUACAAAGAUGAGGAAACCAAGGAUCAAAUGGCUAAACAGCUGGAGAGUGGCAGUGCUGAGAUUUCUGCGGAGGUGGUCAGGCUCCAAAUCCCAUCUUCCUUCCUGAUGAGAACCCCACGCUGCAUUAGAGAAAUCACAGAAAAUGGCGCCACUGCCCUGCAGGGCAGACCUGGACCUGAUGAUACAGCAAUCAGCAACCAGUGUCCUCUCAGGUCUUCAUUUAAAUAUUUCUCCAGAAAAGAAAAGACCGGGUAUUCAAAUGGAGACUAACAAGGACCUGAGAACUGUACUAGGAAGAACUGGUGAAUAAAGCACUGUAAACUCAUCCUCAGUGGCUGUCCUUCUGAAUUGGUGCCUUUGGAGACAAAAAUACAUAUUUUCUCUCUGAAGAGAUCCCACAGCUGUGUGAGGGUCCUCCCUGGAUUCCCAGCUCAGGCCAGAGCAGCCAAGUAGCACUCCCAGGAGAGGAGGAGAUGGCCCAUGGGCAAGCCUCUGGCUUCCGCAGUCUCUGUUGGUGGUCAUCCUUGGAGGGACAGGACUCUGGGGUCACAGAGGAAGACUUCCUCAAACAUUUCAACCGGGGCUUCAAGAAUAAGUAGGACUGGAUAGACCACGAAGUGAGAAGGUGAGCGACUCUGGCAGAGCUCUGCAAGACUCUGUGAAAAGGCAUGAAAGGGCCUCGCAUUGGGGGAAAUACAUGUACAUGCACAUACAUGCAUAUACAUACACUGAAUAUUAAAUAUAUAUGAUAUAUAUCACAAAUAAUGUUAUAUAUGUAUAUAGAUGUACAUAAAAUGGUGUUAUGUGAGUAUAUACCUACAUGUUAACAAUGGUUACUUUUGGUGACAAAUAAAAAU